CCUUGAAAGAGGGAAGUGCCUCGCAAGAGGAGCUUGGAGCAGGUGCUGCAUGGCUGUCGUCAGCUCGUGUCGUGAGAUGUUGGGUUAAGUCCCGCAACGAGCGCAACCCUUGUCUUUAGUUGCCAUCAUUUAGUUGGGCACUCUAAAGAGACUGCCGGUGUCAAACCGGAGGAAGGUGGGGAUGACGUCAAGUCCUCAUGGCCUUUAUGACCAGGGCUACACACGUACUACAAUGGCCGGUACAAAGGGCAGCCACUUAGCGAUAAGGAGCCAAUCCCGUAAAGCCGGUCUCAGUCCGGAUUGGAGUCUGCAACUCGACUCCAUGAAGUUGGAAUCGCUAGUAAUCGCAGAUCAGCACGCUGCGGUGAAUACGUUCCCGGGCCUU
rnacentral:rRNA from 1 species